rnacentral:rRNA from 1 species
UAGUACGGCGAGUGAAGAGAGGAAGAGCCCAAGAUUGAAAGCUGGCGUCUUCGGCGUCCGCAUUGUAAUCUCAAGAAGUGUUUUCCGCUUCGGACCAAGCCUAAGUCCCCUGGAAAGGGGCAUCAUAGAGGGUGAUAAUCCCGUACAUGGCUUGGAGCGCCCGAGGCUUUGUGAUACGCUUUCUAAGAGUCGAGUUGUUUGGGAAUGCAGCUCAAAAUGGGUGGUAAAUGCCAUCUAAGGCUAAAUAUUGGGGAGAGACCGAUAGCGAACAAGUACAGUGAUGGAAAGAUGAAAAGAACUUUGAAAAGAGAGUUAAACAGUACGUGAAAUUGCCAAAAGGGAAGGGUAGGAGGUCAGAGAUGCGGCCUGGGAUUCAGCCUUGCUUUUGCUUGGUGUUUUUCCCAGAUUGCAGGCCAACGUCCGUUUUGGGCACUGGAGAAGGGUAGGAGGAACGUGGCACCCCUCGGGGUGUGUUAUAGCCUCCUACUGGAUACAGCGACCGAGACCGAGGACAGCAGCGUACUCGCAAGAGCGGGCCUUUGGGCACCUUUACGCUUAGGGCGUUGGCAUAAUGGCCCUCUACCACCCGUCUUGA